ensembl:lncRNA
GUCAAGCUCUUCGCCAGGUCGGCCGCCAUCAACAGCUCGGCCAAGAUCAAGUUGAAGAGCAGUGAGCUGCAGACAAUCAAAACUGAGCUGACACAGAUCAAAUCCAACAUUGAUGCUCUCCUGGGCCGGCUGGAGCAGAUUGCUGAGGAACAGAAGCUGUCUACAGGUCAGUGGGGUGCGGGGGUGCCUCAGGGCUGGCCUUGGGCAUCACAACUUCCUCCAGGCUCUGGCAGGGAAGUGUCAACCCCCAGGUUCCUGGGUAGAACCACAGGCCAAAUUUACAUGCCAAAAACGCUGCAAUUAUGGAGUUGGGGGUUAAAAUUAUGAGACUUUCUUUUCUUUUGUCAUAUAAUUUGUAUUUUGCUUUUUUGUUCUACUAUCCUAUUUUACUCUGUAAUAUCCUAUCAUAUUGUAUCCUAUGUUCUAUUCUAUUCUAUUCCUUUCUAUUCCUGUUUUUUCUAUUAUUUUCUAUUCCUUUCCCAUUGCUUUCCUAUUAAUUUACUAUCCUAUUUAAUCCCAUACUAUCCUAUCCCUAUCCCUAUCCUAAUCUUAUCCCACCUUUAUCCCACCCUUAUUGCUAUCCUAUCCCAUCCCUAGCCCUAUCGCUAUCCUAACCCUAGUGCUAGCCCUAUCUUACCCUAUCCUAGCCCUAUCCUACCCCUAUCCCAUCCCAGUCCCAUCCCUACCUCUACCUCUAUCCCUAUCCCUAUCCUAUCCCUACCCCAUCCCUAUCCCUACCCCAUCCCAAUCUCAUCCCUAUCCCUAUCCCUAUCCUCACCCCUAUCCCUGUCCCUAUCCCUACCCCAUCCCUAUCCCUAUCUCUAUCCCUAUCCCUAUCACUACCCCUAUCCCAUCCCUAUCCCUAUCCUGCCCUAUCCUACCUGGUUCCCACCCUGUUGCUGGGGGCAGUAGAACCUUCCCUGCCAUCCCCAGGCUGUCGCAGGCUGCCCCUCACAGUCAGCAGCCCCCCGCAGUCGGUGCAGGAGGCGUUUCCGUCACGGUGGUUCCCGGCAGUGGGUUGGGGCAGUCUGUGCUCGCAGGGCCCCGUUCCCAUUCCCCGUUCCCGGUUCCCGUUGCUGAGGCGCUGUUCCCGCAGAGGCGCGAAAGAAGGCGGAGAGCAGCAAGAGCGAGGUGUCCCAGGAGGACACGGCCUCCGAGGCCGAGGCUGCUGCCGAGGAGCCGCUCAACGGGGACGAGGACGAGGGGCUGGCCCGGGACGAGUGCGAGGAUGAACUGGAGAACAGCCAUUACACAGACGUGGAGGAUGCCAGGCUACAGUAACCAGCUGUGAGCAACAGUGUGAGGAAAGCACGAGGCUAAACCCUGUCCUGGCACGUUGAGCAAGACAAGCUGAAUGGAAGUGCUGCUGUCAUCUCUACCUGGCAUCCAAAGGAGAAACAUGGCCCGACAUCUUCCAUCCAUCUGUAAAGCAAAGGCAAAGAAAACUCAUCCUCCCAGCAGAUCCCCACCACCCCUGCAAUGGAUUCAGAGCUCUGCAGGCAGCAGUGGAGGCAGGAGCCAGACCUGCACAACCCAGGGCCACCACAGAGACCAGGAGAGCAGGUGUGUCCCCAGGGGAGCCUGAGGUGUCCUAGAGCUGCUUGCAGGAGAGCAGAGAGCACUCAGCCCAGCCGAAUAAAUAUGUUUUUCCUGUGCGAGGUGAGAGCCAGAGCAUUUCCUGAGGGAGGAGUAGUGUCUCAGUUUGGACAGUUUGUGUUCUUGUGCUGAACAUCCUGUUGGGUCAGAGGCUGUGGAGUGAGCUGUCCUCCAGCACGGCCACCUCCUGUCACCUCUCGUGUGCCCCAUGAGCUGCUGUGUGUCCACGGUCACUUCCAGGUGGAAAGGAGUUGGUGCUGGAGCAGCUGCUGUGCUCUGGGAAGCUGCUUGGAGAGGGAAGGGGAGAGGAAGCUGCAGGAAAGCAAGUGAUCCCAAACACGAGAAAGCAAGCAAACGUCACCUUCAGUGGUUUGGUAUCAGGGCUGAGCGAGCCCCUGCAGAGUGAGGGGUGCCAACAGAUGUGGAUGAGCCCCUUUCCUUGGACCAGCUGCUCCCUGGGAGGGAUGUGGAACACCCAACUCCUGCAGCCUGGAGCCAGAGACAUCAGCCCCUUCCCUGGCUGCCCACAUCUCCUCCUGCCCCAGCCAGGACACGUCAGGAGAGUGCUGUGACCACUCCUGCCUGAGCUCCAGCGCCCGAGGCUGGGA